ACAUUCGUAGUGUAGGGGUUAUCAUCUGAGCUUCCCAAGAUGGACAUGCUUAGGACCCGGGUUCGAGUCCCGGCGGAUGUA